UACAGCGGCGAUAUCGCGUUGAAUGCACCAGUUUCCAAUGGAUCACUGAAGUUAAGCAGCUUUGCCCGUGGUUAGUAUUCGGAUGGGUUACCAUCUGGUCAAUUGCGUCUAAAA
rnacentral:rRNA from 1 species